GGGGCCCCACGAGCCCCAGUGGAGACAGCGCGUGGCUCUGCCUGCCAAGGCCACCGGGAACUGGCCAUUCAUCCGUUUAUCCGCCACCCAGGCGCCAGGCCCUGAGCUGGAUGCGCGGAUGCGGUGGCCGGUAAGGCUGAGGGGCCCUGCUGCAAGGUCGUGCUGCAGAGGGGCAGAGAGGAGCGGGCGCCCCACCGAGUCCGAGUCCCCAGUCGGGGUGCCUUCCCGGAAGCUGACCGACUGCAGGCCGCAAGGAGGCUUUAAACAGCUCCACCCUCAAGACUCUGCCACGGUAUCUUCUCCUCCCGGAAGGACCCUGCCGUAUUCAUUUUUAUUGUGACUACUGCCCUUGCUCCCCUCUCCGAGUGGCUGGAAGAACCCGACACCUCCAUGAGAGUGCGAAGCGUGGUAGGACCAGGCGGGACUGCUGCGCGCCUUCCAGAAGAACGUCCCACAAACAGCGAGCCCGCCAGCUGGCUUCGUGUGGGCCCUGCUUUCGUGCUGCUUUUAGAAUGCCGGGGAUUUAUGGCCACAAAUGAUUUGUAGCGACCCAGGGGAAACCAUUGAGGGAUUAAUCUAAUUAAACAAGGACAAAAGAAUAAAUACAGACUGGGUUGUGACAAAACAA